GGUGUGAGCAGAGAGACGACAGGGACCCUGUUAUGACACCACCAUAUAGACAGGAGACUGUAGAGCUUUCUGGCAAGUGAAUGCCAAAGUACAGCAGGGGACAGGCAGGUUUAGGGACAUUUAGGGACUGCUAUGGGCAUGCUUUGCGACAAGACAGUGUGUUCCAGGUAAACGGGAGGGAGGUGUCAAGGUGAAGAUACCCUGUUUCCAAUUUGGGUUACUGAAUGAGUGACAGCGGAGCCAUCUGAGGACACAGUGCCAGCAGAGGAGCAGGUGUGAAGGCCAAGUCCGGGCACUGCAUCCUGGACGGGAAUAUCAGUGAGAGGUAAUUUACAGGAGCAGAACCACUCAAAGACAACUGCAUCACAAAGCCCACCUCAGCGUGGGGGACAGCUCACAAAAGCUGGGAAUCUAGAGCACACUGCAGGACUUUGAAGCAGCUUGACAAGUUGGAGUGUCCUGUCAGACAACUCCACUGGUUAUGUCAAGAUGUGUCAAUUAAAGGUAACCAUCACAGAAGGGUGUAUUCUGGCUCCACAGUCUAAGGGUGUAGCCCGACAUAAUGGAAAGAACUGAAGGCAGCUGGUCACCUUGCAUUUGUAGUCAGGAGGCAGAGAGAGAUGAAUGCUGGUGUUCAA